CCUACGGGCGGCUGCAGUGGGGAAUAUUGCACAAUGGGCGCAAGCCUGAUGCAGCCAUGCCGCGUGUGUGAAGAAGGCCUUCGGGUUGUAAAGCACUUUCAGCGGGGAGGAAGGCGUUAAGGUUAAUAACCUUGGCGAUUGACGUUACCCGCAGAAGAAGCACCGGCUAACUCCGUGCCAGCAGCCGCGGUAAUACGGAGGGUGCAAGCGUUAAUCGGAAUUACUGGGCGUAAAGCGCACGCAGGCGGUCUGUCAAGUCGGAUGUGAAAUCCCCGGGCUCAACCUGGGAACGGCAUUCGAAACUGGCAGGCUAGAGUCUUGUAGAGGGGGGUAGAAUUCCAGGUGUAGCGGUGAAAUGCGUAGAGAUCUGGAGGAAUACCGGUGGCGAAGGCGGCCCCCUGGACAAAGACUGACGCUCAGGUGCGAAAGCGUGGGGAGCAAACAGGAUUAGAUACCCCGGUAGUC
rnacentral:rRNA from 1 species